CAGUCGCCGCGGUAAUACGUAGGGUGCGAGCGUUAAUCGGAAUUACUGGGCGUAAAGCGCACGCAGGCGGUUUGUUAAGUCAGAUGUGAAAUCCCCGAGCUUAACUUGGGAACUGCAUUUGAAACUGGCAAGCUAGAGUCUUGUAGAGGGGGGUAGAAUUCCAGGUGUAGCGGUGAAAUGCGUAGAGAUCUGGAGGAAUACCGGUGGCGAAGGCGGCCCCCUGGACGAAGACUGACGCUCAGGUGCGAAAGCGUGGGGAGCAAACAGGAUUAGAUACCCCGGUAGUCCCUGUCUCUUAUAC
rnacentral:rRNA from 1 species